GACGAACGCUGGCGGCGUGCUUAACACAUGCAAGUCGAACGGAAAGGCCCUGCUUUUGUGGGGUGCUCGAGUGGCGAACGGGUGAGUAACACGUGAGUAACCUGCCCUUGACUUUGGGAUAACUUCAGGAAACUGGGGCUAAUACCGGAUAGGAGCUCCUGCUGCAUGGUGGGGGUUGGAAAGUUUCGGCGGUUGGGGAUGGUCUCGCGGCUUAUCAGCUUGUUGGUGGGGUAGUGGCUUACCAAGGCUUUGACGGGUAGCCGGCCUGAGAGGGUGACCGGCCACAUUGGGACUGAGGUAGGGCCCAGACUCCUACGGGAGGCAGCAGUGGGGAAUAUUGCACAAUGGGCGGAAGCCUGAUGCAGCAACACCGCGUGCGGGAUGACGGCCUUCGGGUUGUAAACCGCUGUCGCCUGUGACGAAGCGUGAGUGACGGUAAUGGGUAAAGAAGCACCGGCUAACUACGUG
rnacentral:rRNA from 1 species